CUUAUCCUUGUUCAAUGCUUUAUUGAUAAGUCAUUGAUCAACUUUAAUUUUGUAGACUAUCCAAAUCAGCGCCUUCAUAUAGCAAUGAAAUUGUUUCAACAUACUGAAAUUUUCUUAAGUAUAUAUGAAUAUUUUCUCACCUAAAAUAUUUGAUAAAAGAUGAGUUUGGCACAAAAAUAAUGAUAAAACAAACCAUUUGAGAGCAUAAGAGUUGUAAGGCAUU
rnacentral:lncRNA from 1 species